rnacentral:rRNA from 1 species
CGGACGGGUGAGUAACGCGUGGGUAACCUGCCUUGUACAGGGGGAUAACAGUUGGAAACGGCUGCUAAUACCGCAUAAGCGCACGGCAUCGCAUGAUGCAGUGUGAAAAACUCCGGUGGUAUAAGAUGGACCCGCGUUGGAUUAGCUAGUUGGUGAGGUAACGGCCCACCAAGGCGACGAUUGGUAGCCGGACUGAGAGGUUGAACGGCCACAUUGGGACUGAGACACGGCCCAG